UGCAAUUGUGCUUGAUCGAAU
ensembl:piRNA 21ur-3840 ncRNA